AGGGCUGUGGCUCAGUGGUAGAGCAUCUGCUUUGCAUGCAGAAGGUCCCAGGUUCAGUCCCUGACAAUCUUG